UGGGGAAUAUUGCACAAUGGGGGAAACCCUGAUGCAGCGACGCCGCGUGAGCGAUGAAGGCUUUCGAGUCGUAAAGCUCUGUCCUAUGGGAAGAUAAUGACGGUACCAUAGAAGAAAGCCCCGGCUAAUUACGUGCCAGCAGCCGCGGUAAUACGUAUGGGGCGAGCGUUGUCCGGAAUUAUUGGGCGUAAAGGGUACGUAGGCGGUUUUUUAAGUCAGGUGUCAAAGCGUGGAGCUUAACUCCAUUAAGCACUUGAAACUGAAAGACUUGAGUGAAGGAGAGGAAAGUGGAAUUCCUAGUGUAGCGGUGAAAUGCGUAGAUAUUAGGAGGAAUACCGGUGGCGAAGGCGACUUUCUGGGCUUUUACUGACGCUCAGGUACAAAAGCGUGGGGAGCAAACAGG
rnacentral:rRNA from 1 species